rnacentral:rRNA from 1 species
GAUACCACCCUUGUCGUACUGGGACUCUAACUAUAGGCCAUGGACCUGGUCUUGGGCCACUGUCAGGUGGGCCGCUUGACUGGGGCGGUCGCCGCCCCGAAGGCACCGGAGGCGCUCAAAGGUUCUCGCCGUACGGUCGGAAAUCGUACGUAGAGGGUAAAGGCAACAGAUAGCUUGCUUGCAAGACAUACCCGUCGAGCAA